AUUUUCAUGAUCCAUAUAUCAAAAUUCCAUAGCAUCCAUACAUCCAAAAUUCCAUAGCAUCCAUAUAUACAUAUAGUUCCAUAGCAUCCAUACAUACAUAGCUCCAUAAAAAAUAUAAUACACAAUGAUACUUUGCGGGCAUUAGUAAGUAAUAUUUGGCACUAAAACAAAUGCCUUCAUGUCCAUAUCGUAGUCCAAAGAGCAUCCGCGUGGCAACC
rnacentral:lncRNA from 1 species